rnacentral:piRNA from 1 species
UGAAAUUAGUCGUCCUUACGCUGGCAUUUG